AUUGAACGCUGGCGGCAUGCUUUACACAUGCAAGUCGAACGGUAACAGGCCGCAAGGUGCUGACGAGUGGCGAACGGGUGAGUAAUGCAUCGGAACGUGCCCAGUCGUGGGGGAUAACGCAGCGAAAGCUGCGCUAAUACCGCAUACGAUCUAUGGAUGAAAGCGGGGGACCGAAAGGCCUCGCGCGAUUGGAGCGGCCGAUGUCAGAUUAGGUAGUUGGUGGGGUAAAGGCCCACCAAGCCAACGAUCUGUAGCUGGUCUGAGAGGACGACCAGCCACACUGGGACUGAGACACGGCCCAGACUCCUACGGGAGGCAGCAGUGGGGAAUUUUGGACAAUGGGCGCAAGCCUGAUCCAGCAAUGCCGCGUGCAGGAAGAAGGCCUUCGGGUUGUAAACUGCUUUUGUACGGAACGAAACGGUCCGGGUUAAUACCCUGGGCUAAUGACGGUACCGUAAGAAUAAGUACCGGCUAACUACAUGCCAGCCGCCGCGGUAAGAC
rnacentral:rRNA from 1 species